AGUGAACGCUGGCGGCAGGCCUAACACAUGCAAGUCGAACGGCAGCACAGCAGUAGCAAUACUCUAGCGGCGAACGGGUGAGGAAUGCUUGGGAAUCUGCCUAGUAGUGGGGGAUAACGUUCGGAAACGGACGCUAAUACCGCAUACGUCCUACGGGAGAAAGGGGGGGAUCUUCGGACCUCUCGCUAUUAGAUGAGCCCAAGCGGGAUUAGCUAGUUGGUGAGGUAAUGGCUCACCAAGGCAACGAUCCCUAGCUGGUCUGAGAGGAUGAUCAGCCACACUGGAACUGAGACACGGUCCAGACUCCUACGGGAGGCAGCAGUGGGGAAUAUUGGACAAUGGGCGAAAGCCUGAUCCAGCCAUGCCGCGUGUGUGAAGAAGGCCUUAGGGUUGUAAGCACUUUAAGCGAGGAGGAAGGUUCGUCACCUAAUACGUGGCGGAAUUGACGUUACUCGCAGAAUAAGCACCGGCUAACUCUGUGCC
rnacentral:rRNA from 1 species